rnacentral:rRNA from 1 species
GCGAAGUGAUUGAUCCUACACUGUCGAGAAAAGCUUCUAGGUAGAGACACAUCGCCCGUACCAAAACCGACACAGGUAGGCGGGGAGAGAAUCCUAAGGUGCGCGGGAAAACCCUCGUUAAGGAACUCGGCAAAAUGCCUCCGUAACUUCGGGAAAAGGAGGACUCAUGUAGUGUGAAGGGCAGUAACGCGUGGAGCAUGAAUGAGUGGCACAAGAGAGGCGCAAGCGACUGUUUACCACAAACACAGGUGCCUGCUAAAGCGAAAGCUGAUGUAUAGGUGCUGACACCUGCCCGGUGCUGGAAGGUUAAGAGGAGGGGUUAGACUUCGGUCGAAGCUCUGAAUUGAAGCCCCAGUAAACGGCGGCCGUAACUAUAACGGUCCUAAGGUAGCGAAAUUCCUUGUCGGGUAAGUUCCGACCCGCACGAAAGGUGUAACGACUUGCGCACUGUCUCAACGAGGGACCCGGUGAAAUUGAAGUACCUGUGAAGAUGCAGGUUACCCGCGACUGGACAGAAAGACCCCAUGGAGCUUUACUGCAACCUAAGAUUGAACUUAGUUAAUGAAUGUACAGGAUAGGUGGGAGACGGAGAACCUAGGACGCCAGUUUUAGGGGAGUCGCUGUUGGGAUACCACCCUUUCAUUAAUUGAUUUCUAACGGGCCGAGUAACGACCGGCCGGACAGUCUUAGGCGGGCAGUUUGACUGGGGCGGUCGCCUCCAAAAGAGUAACGGAGGCGCCCAAAGGUUCCCUCAGAGCGGACGGAAAUCGCUCGAAGAGUGUAAAGGCAGAAGGGAGCUUGACUGCGAGACGGACAGGUCGAGCAGGGACGAAAGUCGGGCUUAGUGAUCCGGUGGUGCCGAGUGGAAGGGCCAUCGCUCAACGGAUAAAAGCUACCCUGGGGAUAACAGGCUAAUCUCUCCCAAGAGUCCAUAUCGACGGGGAGGUUUGGCACCUCGAUGUCGGCUCAUCACAUCCUGGGGCUGAAGUAGGUCCCAAGGGUUCGGCUGUUCGCCGAUUAAAGUGGUACGUGAGCUGGGUUCAGAACGUCGUGAGACAGUUCGGUCCCUAUCCAUCGCGGGCGCAAGAAACUUGAAGGGGGCUGCUCCUAGUACGAGAGGACCGGAGUGGACGAACCGCUGGUGUACCAAUUAUCCUGCCAAGGGUACAGUUGGGUAGCUACGUUCGGGACGGAUAAACGCUGAAAGCAUCUAAGCGUGAAACCAGCCUUGAGAUGAGGUUUCUCAUAGCAUAAGCUAGUAAGAUCCCAUGUAGACGACAUGGUUGAUAGGCCAGGUGUGGAAGAGCUGUGAGGCUUGGAGCUGACUGGUACUAAUAGAUCGAGGGCUUUACUUA